rnacentral:rRNA from 1 species
UACGUAGGGGGCAAGCGUUGUCCGGAUUUAUUGGGCGUAAAGCGCUCGCAGGUGGUCCGUCGCGUCGUGCGUGAAAGACCCCGGCUCAACUGGGGAGGGUCGUGCGAUACGGGCGGACUGGAGGCCAGUAGGGGGAUGCGGAAUUCCGGGUGUAGUGGUGGAAUGCGUAGAGAUCCGGAGGAACACCAGCGGCGAAGGCGGCAUCCUGGACUGGUCCUGACACUCAGGAGCGAAAGCGUGGGGAGCGAUCAGG